rnacentral:rRNA from 1 species
UCACCUACGGGACGCAGCAGUGAGGAAUAUUGGUCAAGGGGCGUAAGCCUGAACCAGCCAAGUCGCGUGAGGGAUGGAGGAUCUAUGGUUCGUAAACCUCUUUUAUAAGGGAAUAAAGUGCGGGACGCGUCCCGCUUCGCAUGGACCUUAUGAAUAAGGAUCGGCUAACUCCGUGCCAGCAGCCGCGGUAAUACGGAGGAUCCGAGCGUUAUCCGGAUUUAUUGGGUUUAAAGGGUGCGUAGGCGGCCUUUUAAGUCAGCGGUGA